UAAUAAUUUAAUUUUAGUUAAUUGGUUAAUUAAAUUAAUUGAUCUAUAAAUUUAAUUUUAAAAUAUUGAUUAUUUAAAUAAUGAUUAUUUAUAUAUAGAGAUGUUAGAGUGUAUAUAUGUAGAGAUUUAAUUUAAAAAUGAAUGAAAGUUUGAUUUAGCUAUUAAAUUUAAUAAAGGUAAUUUUAGUGCCAGCAACAGCGGUUAGACUUAAUUUAUAAAUUAACUUAUUUAAUUUUUGAGUUGGUGAAUUAUAAAGUAUUUAAUUAAAUUUGUUGAGAUUUAGUGAAAUAUUUUUUUUAAAUAUAUUAAAUUUUAUUUAACUAAUAUUUGUUAAAUUUUUGAAUAAACUAGGAUUAGAUACCCUAUUAUAGAAAUUAUUUAUAUUGAAUUGAUUAUUAAAUGUAAAUCAUUAAAAUUAAUAAAUAUGGCGGCUUUAUAAUUUAUUUAGAGGAAUUUGUGUAUUGAUUGAUGAGCCACAAUAGGACUAACUAUAAACAUUAACUUUGUGUAUUGCUGUUUGAAGAGUUUAUUUAUAUAUUAUUCUUAUUAUAUUAAAUUUAAAUAGAAAUUCAAGUCAAAAUGCGGGAUUUUAUAGGUUAUAUGAAUUACAAUGAAUUAAAUUUUUGGAUUAAUUAUUUUAAUUAUAAUUUUGAAAUUGGAUUUAAAAGUAAAUUUAUUGAAUUAAAUUUAUUGAAGAUAAUUUUAUUUAGUGUACAAAUUGCCCGUCAUUCUCAUUAUAAAUGAGGAAAGUCGUAACAUAGUAAAUGUACUGGAAAGUGUAUUUUGUGAAAA
rnacentral:ncRNA from 1 species